rnacentral:misc_RNA from 1 species
AAGUCGUAACAAGGUUUCCGUAGGUGAACCUGCGGAAGGAUCAUUAAUGGGUUACUGGGCUUCGGUCCAACCUCCAACCCUGUGUCAAACUACCAUGUUGCUUUGGCGAGCCUGUCUUCACGGGCUGCCGGAGGCCUGUAGGCCUCUGGUUCGUGCUCGCCAGUGGCCCAAUUAAAAUUCUUUAUAACUGUGUCGUCUGAAUUAUCAAGUUAAAUCGUUAAAACUUUCAACAACGGAUCUCUUGGUUCUG